rnacentral:tRNA from 1 species
GAGGGUAUAGCUCAGAGGUAGAGCACAUGCUUUGCAUGCAUGAGGUCCUGGGUUCAAUCCCCAGUCCCUCCA